rnacentral:rRNA from 1 species
UAAGGAAUAUUGGACAAUGGGCGAAAGCCUGAUCCAGCCAUGCCGCGUGAAUGAAGAAGGCCUUAGGGUUGUAAAGUUCUUUUAGGGGUGACGAUAAUGACGGUAGCCCCAGAAAAAGCUCCGGCUAACUCCGUGCCAGCAGCCGCGGGAAUACGGAGGGAGCGAGCGUUGUUCGGAAUUACUGGGCGUAAAGCGUGCGCAGGCGGAUCGCCAAGUCAGAAGUGAAAGCCCCGGGCUUAACCCGGGAAUUGCUUUUGAAACUGGCGAUCUUGAGUAUCGGAGAGGUUGGCGGAAUUCCCAGUGUAGAGGUGAAAUUCGUAGAUAUUGGGAGGAACACCAGUGGCGUAAGCGGCCAACUAGACGAUAACUGACGCUCAGGCACGAAAGCGUGGGGAUCAAACAGGAUUAGAUACCCUGGUAGUCCACGCCGUAAACGAUGUGUGCUAGCUGCUGGGCAGUUUACUGUUCAGUGGCGCAGCUAACGCACUAAGCACACCGCCG